UUGUAACGUGUUCAAUAGGUGGUACUACUGGUGUAGGUAAAUUUAAAUCUACACAACCAUAGUACAAAAUAAUCUAAAAGGAAGAAACAUGAUUACGCGCUAAAACCAAUGACACUUGGCCAAGUGCACUUCAAUAUCAAGCUACUUUUGAGACUCUGAUAAAACAUUAAUGCAACACACAGCGGUAUCAAAUAUCAGAAAGAUACUUUAUCAGU